UUGCGCCCCGAGGCAGUUGGCGCCAGGUGCGGGGCGGCGGGGGAGGUGCUCGCAAGCGGGUUGCCGGCGUUCGCGCUCGGCGCGCGGUGUGUUCCGUAAGGGGCCUGAACCCGGAGAGUGUGGAGCGAGCGAAUCGAAACAAAAACCGUGGAGCCCGCGGGCUGCUGGCUUUUCCUUCAACACUACUUUUGGUGUUUUUCUUGAAACAGGAGAUAAAAAUUUCUUCCCAACCCUUUCCCCUCCGUUCAUGUGUGUGUCUGUUGUGCGUCAGGGUGUGUGUGUGUGUGUGUGAUGUGUGUGUGAUGUGCGGUGUGCGUGGUGGGGCGUGUGUGUGCUGUGUAGAGGGGCAUAUGGGGUUUGCUCUGCGUCCGGGUUACACCAAUGGGAAGGGCCCAUCGAAAGCGGAGAUGACGGUCCUGGCUCCAUCACUGCACAGCUUCGGACGAAUGGCUUCACCUUUUUGGUCCGCAGUUUGUUUAGCUGUUUCAAAGAUGUUGGACUUCCCUGGUGGCGCAGUGGUUAAGAAUCUGCCUGCCAGUGCAGGGGACAUGGGUUCGAGCCCUGGUGCAGGAAGAUCCCACAUGCCGCAGAGCAACUAAGCCCGUGCGCCACAACUACUGAGCCUGCGCUCUAGAGCCUGCAAGCCACAACUACUGAGCCCGCGUGCUGCAACUACUGAAGCCUGUGCGCCUAGAGCCUGUGCUCCACAACAAGAGAAGCCGCCGCAAUGAGAAGCCCGCACACCGCAACAAAGAGUAGCCCCCUCUCGCCACAACUAGAGAAGGCCCGCGUGCAGCAACGAAGACCCAAUGCAGCCAAAAAUAAAUAAUUUAUUUUAAAAAGUAAAAUAAAAUGCAGGAUGUCUUUCUGUUCA